ACCUGUCCUAGAUACUUCUGUCCAUUGUCUGCCCUACACCCUUCCUUGUCUCUGCCCUCCAAAUCCCUUCGCCUUUAUAUUGCACCCUCAGCUAAACUUGACACUUCUCUCUUCCCUCACAGAAAUUGGACUUAAAACUAUACAGUUCCUUGAGCAAUUGAGCAUUCUCUGCCAUCACAUCAAGUAGUCUCAACAAUCAUACAUGGCAACACAAAUGAAGACUUGGUACUUGGAGAGUAUGAGAGGAUGGAAUCUUUGAUGAAGGCUGAUUCUUUUGUAUAGUUAUUCAGAAGUAAGUCUCACUGUGUUUGUUAGGGCUUUAAAUACAAAAAA